CCCUUAGAGUUUGAUCCUGGCUCAGAGCGAACGCUGGCGGCAGGCCUAACACAUGCAAGUCGAGCGCCCAGCAAUGGGAGCGGCAGACGGGAUAGUAACACGUGGGAACGUACCUUUCAGUUCGGAACAACCCAGGGAAACUUGGGCUAAUACCGAAUACGUCCGUAAGGAGAAAGAUUUAUCGCUGAAAGAUCGGCCCGCGUCUGAUUAGCUAGUUGGUGAGGUAAUGGCUCACCAAGGCGACGAUCAGUAGCUGGUCUGAGAGGAUGAUCAGCAUCACUGGGACUGAGACACGGCCCAGACUCCUACGGGAGGCAGCAGUGGGGAAUAUUGGACAAUGGGCGCAAGCCUGAUCCAGCCAUGCCGCGUGGAUGAUGAAGGCCUUAGGGUUGUAAAGUCCUUUCGGCGGGGAAGAUAAUGACGGUACCCGCAGAAGAAGCCCCGGCUAACUUCGUGCCAGCAGCCGCGGUAAUACGAAGGGGGCUAGCGUUGCUCGGAAUCACUGGGCGUAAAGCGCACGUAGGCGGACUCUUAAGUCGGUGGUGAAAUCCUGGAGCUCAACUCCAGAACUGCCUUCGAUACUGAGAGUCUCGAGUCCGAGAGAGGUGAGUGGAACUGCGAGUGUAGAGGUGAAAUUCGUAGAUAUUCGCAAGAAC
rnacentral:rRNA from 1 species